rnacentral:rRNA from 1 species
GGAAUAUUGGACAAUGGGCGCAAGCCUGAUCCAGCCAUGCCGCGUGCAGGAUGACGGUCCUAUGGAUUGUAAACUGCUUUUGCACAGGAAGAAACAUCCCGACGUGUCGGGACUUGACGGUACUGUGAGAAUAAGGAUCGGCUAACUCCGUGCCAGCAGCCGCGGUAAUACGGAGGAUCCAAGCGUUAUCCGGAAUCAUUGGGUUUAAAGGGUCCGUAGGCGGUUUAGUAAGUCAGUGGUGAAAGCCCAUCGCUCAACGGUGGAACGGCCAUUGAUACUGCUAAACUUGAAUUAUUAGGAAGUAACUAGAAUAUGUAGUGUAGCGGUGAAAUGCUUAGAGAUUACAUGGAAUACCAAUUGCGAAGGCAGGUUACUACUAAUGGAUUGACGCUGAUGGACGAAAGCGUGGGUAGCGAACAGGAUUAGAUACCCGGG